UACGUAGGGCGCAAGCGUUAUCCGGAAUUAUUGGGCGUAAAGAGCUCGUAGGCGGUUUGUUGCGUCUGCCGUGAAAGUCCGGGGCUCAACUCCGGAUCUGCGGUGGGUACGGGCAGACUAGAGUGAUGUAGGGGAGACUGGAAUUCCUGGUGUAGCGGUGAAAUGCGCAGAUAUCAGGAGGAACACCAGUGGCGAAGGCGCCGCUCUGGGCCGACACUGACGCUGAGGAGCGAAAGCGUGGGUAGCAAACAGG
rnacentral:rRNA from 1 species